AUUGAACGCUGGCGGCAUGCUUUACACAUGCAAGUCGAACGGUAACAGGUAUCUGGGUGCUGACGUGUGCGGCGGAGUGGUGUAUAAUGCCGGAAUGUGUCCCUAGGAGUGGGUGAUCACGUCGGUAGACGUGCUCUUAUACCACGUACGCUGUGGUGUAGUGCGGGGGGGCACUCCGGACUGCUUGUGCGUUUGUUCGUGUAGCGGUCUAGGUCAGAUUAGGUAGUUGGUGGGGUAAAGGCCUACCAAGCCGACGAUCUGUAGCUGGUCUGAGAGGACGACCAGCCACACUGGAACUGAGACACGGCCCAGACUCCUACGGGAGCACGCAGUGGGCACAUUUGGACAAUGGGCGCAAGCCUGAUCCAGCAAUGCCGCGUGCGAGAAGAAGGAAUUCGGGUUGUAAACCGCUUUAGGACGGGACGACAAAAAACUAGCUAAUACCUGGGGCUGAUGACGGUACCGUAAGAAUAAGCACCGGCUAACUACGUG
rnacentral:rRNA from 1 species